AUCUUCAAUGACAUUAUUGGCCCACUGGGAGGAUCGGAGGACUGGCACUGGCCCUAAGCAUGGAGUCAUCUGACACUGGUACCAAUGCCAAGGGGACGUCUUCAUCAGAAACACCACUGCCACCCUUUUGAAGAACUAAUAGUAACCUGAAGGAGAGGCUCCUUUGGUACUGCAGAGGAAAUACUCCAUAACACAAACCUCGACUGUUUGGUGAAUAGCUGGCUAUCAGGACAUGGAGGGAAGGGUGCUGGAGAUCCAGUGAUGCUAAGUUGCCUCCAGAACUGAGCAAGAAUGAUGGCCCUUGUGGAUUCUACUUCUUUUCUAUGAACUGACUCUAACCAACAGGGGAAUCUGUUUGUAUGAUCUAUGAAUUCUGGGUGAGAUUAUGAACUCUGUAUGCAUCUUUGCCAAGCAGCAUUUUGUAUGUGCAACUUUUUACCUUCUCUACUGUCUGUUUGCCUCCACACUGGGCUGAAAUAAUAAAAGCAGAACAGAAGAGAGAGUAAUUGAUUUGAAAUACUCCACCACAGAAAUGAAAUUGCUCUAGAGAAUAAGGUAGUUCUCCUGGGUAGGAGCUGGGUUUGUCUGAGAAGAGGUUGCCUUGGCAACAAAAUUGCCUGGCGGGGUCUCUGGUCACCUGGGGAAGCUGGAAAGAGUCACCUGACAGAGAAGACUGGAAGGGAGGAACAGAUCUAUAAGGGAUCUUUGGCCACUUUCAUCAGUUCAAGCUGAUAGGCGCUGAUGCAGCCUUGAGGUAGGCAGGGGAAACUCUUCUUGCCUGCCUUAGCCCAGAUGGUCCCCAAGGACUCCCAAGGGAAAGAUGUACUCGAGAGGGACAUUACAGUUAGGAUGCAUAUUGUUUUCUAAAUUAUCACUACUGUCUUGUGCUUUAUAUGAUUAAGUAUAAUACAGCAAUGGUAUUAGAA